CAGCUAGUUGGUGAGGUAACGGCUCACCAAGGCGACGACGGGUAGCUGGUCUGAGAGGAUGUCCAGCCACACUGGGACUGAGACACGGCCCAGACUCCUACGGGAGGCAGCAGUUAGGAAUCUUGCGCAAUGGACGAAAGUCUGACGCAGCGACGCCGCGUGCGGGAUGAAGGCCUUCGGGUUGUAAACCGCUUUCAGCAGGGACGAAAUUGACGGUACCUGCAGAAGAAGCCCCGGCCAACUACGUGCCAGCAGCCGCGGUAAUACGUAGGGGGCAAGCGUUGUCCGGAUUUAUUGGGCGUAAAGAGCUCGUAGGUGGUUCGGUAAGUCGGAUGUGAAAUCUCCAGGCUCAACCUGGAGGGGUCAUUCGAUACUGCCGUGACUAGAGGUCGGUAGGGGAGUGUGGAAUUCCUGGUGGAGCGGUGAAAUGCGCAGAUAUCAGGAGGAACACCCGUAGCGAAGGCGGCACUCUGGGCCGAUACUGACACUGAGGAGCGAAAGCGUGGGGAGCGAACAGGAUUAGAUACCCUGGUAGUCCACGCCGUAAACGUUGGGCACUAGGUGUGGGACUCUAUCGACGGGUUCCGUGCCGUAGCUAACGCAUUAA
rnacentral:rRNA from 1 species